rnacentral:lncRNA from 1 species
UAUCAGCUAUCUUUUGCUUGGAAUUGUUUGAUAAUAUACAGUCUCUAAAGAAGGAGAACAGUGCCUGGGGUCUUCUUGGCUCACGUGGUUACUAGAUCUUUGGAGAAGUUGAUGGGAUUUCAAGUAUGUGCUGUUUUUCUCUAUGGGAUUCCAAUAACACAUCCAUAUAGGGAGUCCCCGUGGAGCAAGGAGAUAGAGAAAGGAGUUAGAAAGUAGAAUACCAGCAUGGGAAAUAAAUUAGUCUGUAUGUUGCUUAAGGUACAUGUUGACUAAGGUCUCUACAUAGUGAUUCAAAAUGAGUGAUUGGAAAUCUGGCUAGAAAUGAACAUUAGCAUUUCAGUAGGUUAACUUUCGCCUUGGUUGCUGUCUCAAUGUCACUUGAUUGAUGUGAGUUGCAGGAGGGAUCACGGUGGUGGAAGAGUGUUCCGGCGUCGCAGCUGGAUUUUUCGAGAUGGUUCCACAUUUACUUUUGUGGUGAUGCCCUGGACAAAUCACACGAUAGAUCAGAACUGCAGUUCUCUCAGUUAUAAACAGAAAUAAAAAAACGUGAUGUCCAGUCUCACUGGGUUGUUAUAUCAGAGGCUCCUGGGGACAAUACUAUGUUAGUUGAAUGUUGGUUCAGAAUAAUUUUGUUCAUGAUAAAAGUUUUGAAAAGUGGAAUCAGGACAUGGGAGGUGGUUGUGACACAGAAAUGACAUGAGCUCUGAAGACAGAUUAAAAUCUCGGCCCCCUGAGAGGAUAUUAUGAGAAUAAGGAAAACAGAUGCAAAGAGCUUGUGAUUGGC